rnacentral:lncRNA from 1 species
UCCACUUGAGUGCUUUCCAAAUAAGUUUUUUGAAGCACUUUCUCCUUUUUAACCAGGUCUUUGGGAUUACUUGAUUGCUGACCUCUUUGUUCCAAUACCUGAAAACACUUGCAAACUCAGAACUCCUGACUGAGAUGGAAUACAACUUUUGUAAUAUAUCCAGUAUUGGCUUACCAAUUUCAAGUGACAGAAGCAAGGUUCCUGUCAGGCUCCAUUUCCAUGCAGUGCUACCAUCCCUGGACUCCUUAAGAAGGAUUGUAAGCAUCAAGGGACAUUACUGCUGAUGCGAUCACCAAUGACUGCUGCUGGAAAUCCAUGCAGAAAUAUGUUCUGUGCACAGGGAAGCAGAGAGCAGCAACACCCAAGUCUCCUUCCCUCUCUCCCUUCCUCCCCCUGUAGUUGACAUUCAGGGACUGUAAGUCCCACUAUCUCCUGUCAGGAUAGUUCCAUUCCUUGGGGAAGGGGUUAGCAAUAGCAAGCCAUGCCUUAGCAGCAGUGUGCCGUCCCACAUGUGUAAAAAUCAGUAUGUGCAGGUAGAAAUCUGAUUUUAGCCAAGAUUUUUUGGAUGUGCAAGAAUGAAGAGUAAGAGCAAAUCCAUGUACACAGGCUGAUCAAACUAACACUGUUUUGCUUGAUCUAAUUUUGAGGCUAAUUUUCCUCACAGAAGGGACAGAGCCUCUGAGCAGAACUUGUGGGUGGAGGCCCUAAGGGAAUUUGAUGAGAGCAGCUAAGGCCCAUUAAUGCACUUAGGACCCUGACACAAUUUUUCUAGGACAUAUGCAACAGGAGAGGUGAAAAAGUACCAAGGAACUUUGACCUGAGACAAAUAUAUUUGUUUACUAUUAGAUAUUUAUCUGUUGUUAGAUAUUUACUGUUGUUAGAUGUUUAUUAUUACUGUUAGUGAUUUACUAUUGUUACUUAUCUGUUAUUAAAUAUCUAUUUUUAGUAGAUAUUUAGAAUAGAGACUUGACAAGGUAAAGGCCUCAAAAGGGGGGAAAUGAUACCUUAAUCUUUAGCUUUCAUAUUUUUUCGAUUCUGUACUGCCUUAGUGUGUGACUCUGAACUUCAUACAAAGUGUUAGCACGUUCUCUUCACAGUUCAGUUAGACCAAACAAUCCUUUUCCAGCUUGGGAACCAAGGACACCAUUGCAGCCUCAGGCCCAAAAGGUAUAAACAACAGCAAAUUGAUGAGAGCAGUCUGGGAGGAUGGGACUUCAUAACCUGAAGCAGGAAUUGGACAAUUAAGCCCAAUAUGUAAAUGGCCCAAAACUUUAAAACGUUUGAAAACUCAUGACCAGUUGUCCAUCUUGGGUCCAUCUUGGGUCCAUCUUGGGUGGAGCCAUGGCUGGGCUCUUGAACUGCUCCAGGUGCAUCCUUUAAAGGUCUUUUAACAAAUACCUGCUUUGUUCCUUUAACUCUGUCUAGCCUCUGUUCCAGGUCAGCCUCUUUAGGCAUCAGUUCAGCCAGCAAAAUAAGAAGCCCCAGCUGUUCCAGUGUGGUCCAUGCCAUAAGAGUGUCAGAGUCAGACGUUUCCUCUCUCAUAGUUUUGCCCCAGAACACUUGAAAAAAGAGCAAAUAAUGGUUAGCACAAAUCUGCAGUGAGCAUGCCCAAGAGAAGAGACAGCCACCCUUUUUGCCACUUUCCAUGUUAUCGUCUGCUACAUUUUCUUUCCUCACAUCCAAAAAAGCCAGCAACAAACAAACUCUGAAGGGAGGUUAGGAGGAACAUUAAAGGGUUUGAGUUGCAAUAGAUUUUUAAAACAAUCAUGAUGAAAUUUAGCACAAAGUACUAUAUUUUUAGUGUUUUCAAAAUACAUGGUUUAUAUGGCAAGACUACAGAGACCUACCUUUGGAUUUCUCAGCUUUUGCUGUUUUCAAAUUCACUCAUAGGAUUCUGAUUGUUACUUUUUUUUAAGUGAGUUUCUUCACAAGAAAACAAGUAGUUGGUUGAGUCCAUGAACUAAUGCAGCCUAAUCUUGAACAGCUUUUGUGCUUGUGAGAACUGACUUUUAAACUUUUUUUAUGCCUUUAUUAUUGACCAGAGAACAAGUCAAUACAGGAGCAAAAACCUUCCAGCAGAGCAAGAUCCCAUGUUACCUGCAGGAAGCAUUUCCUGUGGCUGAUCAAUCAUAACAACUCCUUUCCAAGAGUUUCUCUGGCAGAUAACCUAGGCAGCUAUUUUUCCACCCAUAAAGAUUAAGAGUAUCAACCUUACCUACUGUGUGUCUAAUUCACAGAAGGGAGGGGAGGGGAGGGGAGGGGAGGGGAGGGGAGGGGAGGGGAGGGGAGGGGAGGGGAGGGGAGGGAGGGGAGGG